AUAUGAUUUUAAUAUUUCUAUCAUUCAUUCUAAUUCAGGAAAGCUACCAGCUACUACUAAGCGAUAUGUGCAAUGCAUACCCCUACCCAUUAUCUAUUUAAGUAUAGUAUAACCUAAUAGCCUAAUAACCAAAUUAAUUGUGUAACAAUAGAUAUUAUGUAGUAAGAUGGAAAUCGGAUGGCAAAUGAAAAAAGCGGCUGUUAGGAGAGGGAAAAACCGACAUCACGGUAUUUCUGAUCAGUAUA